ensembl:lncRNA
GAGCCAUUAAAGACAUGUCCCCAAAGAGCAGGCCCUUUGCCACAUUGUGUGACAACCAGCAGGUGCAAAGCCAUAGCUGACCUUUGGUGCCGACCCUGCUGUGAUUGUCCUUAGGCUGUGGCCUCAGAAUGGAAAAGCUUCACCAGCUUUGCUCCUGGUAGUAAAGCAUGGCACUAGGUGGGCUGACUGCUGCAUGGGUCACUUCCACUCACCUGGUGGGAUGGUCAGACGGAGCAGAAGGAUGGCAGGAUACUUCAUCGAACUAGUGGCAAUGGACAUGCAUCUCACUGCUAAAUUUUGUUGUAUAUUCUUUGUAUAGCAUUAAUGUUUAUGGUACUUUACAAAGUACAAGUGGAGAGGAUCCUGUCUUCGAGGUUUUUUUUAAUGACCUAAAUAGAAAGGAAGAUACAUAUUUAUGUUACUUAUAUGGUCUUGAAUGUGGUUGCAGUUGCUGUACACAAGUUUUCCUGUUCUCUCCAAGAUUCAUUGUGCAUUUUAGGAGCCAGAAUUGAUUCCAUUGGGACAGCAAGGCAGAGUUGCAGAACUGGAUCCACUUUGGGUUUACCUAACUAGUGAUAUAUCCUGCAGAAGGCUUUGGCAUGGGAUGGGAAGCAUCACAAGGGAUGACCAAAAGUCCAUUAAAGCAGAACGGGGACCCGGUGUCUUCCGACUGAAAGCCACCUUGGCCUGCUAUCAAAGGCAAGAGCAUCAAUUCUGGAUGCAAGGAAAGGAGCAAGUAAACAAACCACCAGAGACCGAGGAUUGAAGAGCUACUGUUCUGAAUAACACCUUGAUGUCUUAGACCUCCUAAUCUUUGGCUGCUUAAAGCCACAGGUGCAGUCUCUGGGCCAAUUAAUAGUGGCAAUUGUGAUCCUGAAGUAAUUCAUUCCAGUCUUGCCAGGAAAGAAUGAGGGCUGUGGCUCUAUCGGAGGCAGGAAAUGGAAUCUCAAUCAGAAUUGCCACUCCUGUUGUGAAACCCAUUUGUAAAAGAGACGACCCACUAUGACUGCUUACAGAAGACGGAAUUCUGUGACAUUGUCUCUGCUUUAUUUAAAAUCAAGUGUCUCAAAUGGGAAGGUGGAUCCUAUUCUGUUUUUAGUAGGGUCCUCUGGCUGUUGCUGGUGGAGGAGCUUGUCUCGCCUAUCUUGAUCUUUGUGCCCUGAUUGAUUGGACCUGAAGGCAGAGAAUCAAUCUUCCACAUUUUCCAGUCCUCAGCCACUGGGUGUCUCUGUCCCUUUCUUCCAGUCAUCCCUGUACCACCAUUAAAAGGACAGUGAGGAAAGUUUUCUGUUUUCCAUGAAUAAUUCUCUGAGGUUGAACCAAUUUUUUCUCCUUUCAAAAAUUUAAAAUAUGUGUCCGGGUCCAGAAGGUAACUCUCUCUUUCAUCUUUCUUCUUUAAACAAAAGGGAGGGAGGGAUGUUUGGACACUUUGCAUUAUGGUGAAAAGUCUCUGAAUCUUGGGUACCGUCACUAGAGCAGAUCUUGUUGUAAUCAUAGACACAAUUAUUAGGGCCAAUAAUGAUGACAGUGCUGAUGACAGUGCAGAAGAAUAACAAACAGUGAAGAGACAGGGAACAUAUCUAACCAAAUAUUCUGGUUAGACCCAAACUAGAUGAUAGGCUUAUGAUUUUGUGGUGUAAUUAUCUCUCCCAGGCUUGAAAAUAAAUAGCUAUGGGGAUCUCUUGUCCA